rnacentral:rRNA from 1 species
AGAGUUUGAUCCUGGCUCAGGAUGAACGCUAGCGGCAGGCCUAAUACAUGCAAGUCGGACGGGAUCCGGUGGAGAGCUUGCUCAAAACCGGUGAGAGUGGCGCACGGGUGCGUAACGCGUGAGCAACCUGCCCAUAUCAGGGGGAUAGCCCGGAGAAAUCCGGAUUAACACCGCAUAACAAUGCAGUUCCGCAUGGGACAGUAUUUAAAUAUUUAUAGGAUAUGGAUGGGCUCGCGUGACAUUAGCUAGUUGGCGGGGUAACGGCCCACCAAGGCGACGAUGUCUAGGGGCUCUGAGAGGAGAAUCCCCCACACUGGUACUGAGACACGGACCAGACUCCUACGGGAGGCAGCAGUAAGGAAUAUUGGUCAAUGGGGGCAACCCUGAACCAGCCAUGCCGCGUGCAGGAUGACUGCCCUACGGGUUGUAAACUGCUUUUGUCCGGGAAUAACCCCCCCUACGAGUAGGGGGCUGAAUGUACCGGAAGAAUAAGGAUCGGCUAACUCCGUG